CGGACCUAUGGCGCAACGGUAGCGCGUCUGAUUCCAGAAAUCAUCAAAUUCUCGGAAUCUCCAGAAGGUUAGCUGUUCGAAUCAGCUUAGGUUCAA
rnacentral:tRNA from 1 species